UACAGGGGGGGCAAGCGUUGUCCGGAAUUACUGGGCGUAAAGGGCUCGUAGGCGGCCAACUAAGUCAGACGUGAAAUCCCUCGGCUUAACCGGGGAACUGCGUCUGAUACUGGAUGGCUUGAGUUUGGGAGAGGGAUGCGGAAUUCCAGGUGUAGCGGUGAAAUGCGUAGAUAUCUGGAGGAACACCGGUGGCGAAGGCGGCAUCCUGGACCAACACUGACGCUGAGGAGCGAAAGCCAGGGGAGCAAACGGGGAUUAGAAACCCCCUGGUAGU
rnacentral:rRNA from 1 species